rnacentral:rRNA from 1 species
GACGAACGCUGGCGGCGUGCUUAACACAUGCAAGUCGAACGGACGAGUGAGAUAAGUUUACUUAACUCACAAGUUAGUGGCGGACGGGUGAGUAACACGUGGAUAAUCUACCUGCAACACCGGGAUAACGCUGUGAAAACGGUGCUAAUACCGGAUACGUUCCCUUGUGCGCAUGUAUGAGGGAAGAAAGCUCAGGCGGUUGCAGAUGAGUCCGCGGCUGAUUAGCUAGUUGGUGAGGUAAAGGCUCACCAAGGCGAUGAUCAGUAGCCGGCCUGAGAGGGUGAACGGCCACACUGGGACUGAGACACGGCCCAGACUCCUACGGGAGGCAGCAGUGGGGAAUCUUCCGCAAUGGGCGCAAGCCUGAUCCAGCCAUGCCGCGUGAGUGAAGAAGGCCUUCGGGUUGUAAAGACUCUUUUGGUCGGGGACGAUAAUGACGGUACCGCCAGAAUAAGCCCCGGCUAACUUCGUGCCAGCAGCCGCGGUAACGGAGUAGUACACG